AGGUAAUUAUUAUGUGGGGAAAGCGAUGGAACUCUUGUUCCAGGAUGUCUGCAUUCAGGAGGCCUAACCCCUAACCAACAAGAUGAGGAUUUAAGGAAAGGAGAUUGAAACAAUACAGUUAAAUGGCCUUGAAAUCACAAACUACAUAGAGACAGAAAGAAAACACUCUUCCUCCAAGUCCAUCAAUCAUCUCUCUCUCGAAGUCCAAGCUUAAAAACAUGAACAUGAAGAAAAUUCUAAUCAAAUUUAUCCGUUCAGGAUGGCCUGGUUGGAGUUUGGGAUAUACCAGGGGUGAGAGAAUGAGCUGCAAAUAUAGACACCAGCAAGCUCAGGAAUGGUCCUGUGUGAUAUGAUUAAGGAGUUUGAACAUAAUACGGUAAUGCCAGAAACACCCAUCAUAUCUGGGAUUCACAGGAAAACUCAGGAGAAGAGCCAGAGAUUUUGCUGUGAAUUUUGGAAGAAAUUUUGAGGUGAGAGUUGGAGCUGUGAG